rnacentral:rRNA from 1 species
UACGAGAGGACCGGAGUGGACGCAUCACUGGUGUUCGGGUUGUCAUGCCAAUGGCACUGCCCGGUAGCUAAAUGCGGAAGAGAUAAGUGCUGAAAGCAUCUAAGCACGAAACUUGCCCCGAGAUGAGUUCUCCCUGACCCUUUAAGGGUCCUGAAGGAACGUUGAAGACGACGACGUUGAUAGGCCGGGUGUGUAAGCGCAGCGAUGCGUUGAGCUAACCGGUACUAAUGAACCGUGAGGCUUAACCUUACAACGCCGAAG